rnacentral:tRNA from 1 species
GGCCCGGUAGCUCAGUCGGUUAGAGCAGCGGACUCAUAAUCCGUCGCGCGCAGGUUCGAGUCCUGCCCGGGCCA